GAUGAACGCUGGCGGCGUGCCUAAUACAUGCAAGUCGAGCGAACAGAUGAGGAGCUUGCUCCUCUGACGUUAGCGGCGGACGGGUGAGUAACACGUGGAUAACCUACCUAUAAGACUGGGAUAACUUCGGGAAACCGGAGCUAAUACCGUAUAAUAUAUUGAACCGCAUGGUUCAAUAGUGAAAGAUGGUUUUGCUGUCACUUAUAGAUGGAUCCGCGCUGCAUUAGCUAGUUGGUAAGGUAACGGCUUACCAAGGCACCGAUGCGUAGCCGACCUGAGAGGGUGAUCGGCCACACGAGAACUGAGACACGGUCCAGACUCCUACGGGAGGCAGCAGUAGGGAAUCUUCCGCAAUGGGCGAAAGCCUGACGGAGCAACGCCGCGUGAGUGAUGAAGGUCUUCGGAUCGUAAAACUCUGUUAUUAGGGAAGAACAAAUGUGUAAGUAACUAUGCACGUCUUGACGGUACCUAAUCAGAAAGCCACGGCUAACUACGUG
rnacentral:rRNA from 1 species